CCUAAAAUGAAACCCAAAUUUUGGUUGAAUUCUGAGAGCUUAUUUUCCAUUUUUUUAAUUGGUGAUAUAUUGGUGCAGAUAUUGUUUAUAUUAAAAGAGAAACAAAAUGGAAACGUCUUGUGUUUAUGGGCAAUAUCUCAAUUCUACCUUUGGGAAGUCCACUGCCUAUCCAAGUUCACUCUUCACAGCUCAGUUUCUAGCAGCGCUUCAUAAAUAGUGGAAUACGUACUUCUAAUAUCAAGUUCUCGACUCAUAUAAUAGUGUCUAGAGCAGAAUUGGAGUUAAAGGACAUUAAUGUGGACGUCGAGCUUGGCAAUGACAAGUUAUAGUAGUGGUGCUGGCAUUUUGAAUGGGAAAGCUGCCAAAAGGUCAGAGACUACAGCUAAAGAACACCGGUUGUUGAGGGUUCGAGAGGAGAAGAGCCCGCCAAUAUGAACAUCUUAUCAUCCUGCUUUGGCAAAGUCAUUCUCUCUCUCUCUCAUUAAAAUUUUGUUUGAUUACAAUUUACAAUACUAUAAGUGAACGAGUAUUUUACUUGUGUUAAGUACAGGGUGUUGGAAGAUGCUUGUAAAAAUGACUUGGAGCUUCGACCUAUUCUGGGAGAUACCAUUGGUAACCGAACUUAUGAGAAAAAGGGUAA
rnacentral:lncRNA from 1 species